rnacentral:rRNA from 1 species
CAUGCCGUAAACGGUGGGCGCUAGGUGUGGGGUCCUUCCACGGACUCCGUGCCGUAGCUAACGCAUUAAGCGCCCCGCCUGGGGAGUACGGCCGCAAGGCUAAAACUCAAAGGAAUUGACGGGGGCCCGCACAAGCGGCGGAGCAUGUGGAUUAAUUCGAUGCAACGCGAAGAACCUUACCUAGGCUUGACAUAUACAGGACGACGGCAGAGAUGUCGUUUCCCUUGUGGCUUGUAUACAGGUGG